UGUUCAUAAGAAUUCGCGAUCGAUGUACUGUUCCUAAGGAGGAAGUUAUGGUUUUGCUCUCAAAUACCGCACUCGGUGAUUUUCUUCUCCGCUGGUUCGCUCUAUCCUGAAGCUUCUUUUUUCUGUUUCUUUUUUGGCAUCAUUCUUCCCUCUGUUCUUCCAUUUUAGUCGCGCCCCGAAAUCAAACUCCUUCCCUACGCCCUGCACUUCAAUACAUUUAUUCUUCCUCUCACUCUACCGUCUGCACCGCUUCGUUUCCUAAAGCUUCUUCUCCUUUCUGCUAUUUGUUUUUGGGAACGUUUUUGCUUCUCCGUCCAAUCGAACCGUCAUUCAUUUUAGGGUUUAUUUUAUGGGUUUUUCCCAAAGAUCUUUAUAUUCGCUUCAAAUCACUAUAUUUGGGUCUUCAGGGUUUGUCAUCAUCAGCAAGGAGCCAAGGAGUGAAGGUGAUUCGGGGUUAUUUGGAAUCCCGUAAAUGACUGAUUAAGCUUCUCUCUCUCUCUCUCUCUCUCUCUCUCUCUCUCUCUCUCUGUUGGUCACGGUUACUCAGAUUGCAAGGUAUCUGAUUCCGAUGAUUCACUUACAGGAACUAAAUCUCAAGCAUCGGCUUGCAGUGGCUUGAGCUUUUUUUGAGUUUGAGGGAACGAUUGUGUAAGUAAAGAAUCUUCUCCUGAGACCCAGACAGAAAGGAACAAGGUGAGGGAAGUGGGAAUCUUGACCAAAUAUUUUCUGCGAUCCAAAGGAACUGUUUUGCUAUCGAUUGGAAGAAUUCUGAUAGGGUUGUGAUCGGAACAGUGCUAAACGUUUGUCGGCUCAGAUACGGUUCUCUUCUAAAUUGAUCAUACUCAUUUUCUUGAUCUUUGUUUUCUAUCUAGAGAUUUCUGUUAUAAAGCAUUGGAUCAAGGAGAAUCGUUCUACUCUCUAUCAUGGAUUUGUUACCUGUACGUUUACAUGUAUCUCAUGAAUGUUGUCUACUCUGUAAUUACAUGUAAUCAUGUUAAAUGAAGAGUUCUCAUUUUGUAGAUGAAUUAUAUUAAUUUGUAUUUUUCUUUUCUGCAGGCUUUUGGUUGGGUGAUAAUAAUCAUGACAAAAAGGCCUAUAAAUCAAGGAAUGCCCUUUAUUGAAAUCUAGAAUGUCAUCUCAUGUGGAAGUGAUUAUCUUGACAAAGAGAUUCUUCAUAGUUUCUCAUUUGAGUGAAUUUCAAUGCCUUCAAUAUAUCUCAGGCAUCUAUAGCUCUUAAGCUUGGGAAUUAUUGAAUCAGUCGUACCACUAAUUGAAGUUGAGGUGAAAAAAGAGAAGACAAGAAGGGGAAUUGGUAUACAGAAGUGCAGGUAGAAUUUAUAUAGCAUCAUGUACAAGUUAUACUUAUACCAAGCUAUUUCUGUAUUUCAUCAAGGACAAAAGUUCCUUAUACAUGUACUUCAUUAA